GGCUGUGGCUCAGUGGUAGAGCACUUGCCUUGCAUGUGUGAGGCACUGGGUUCAAUCCUCAGCACCA
rnacentral:tRNA from 1 species